GAGGCCCAACUUGCGGUGGGUGCGAAGAACGGCGAGGGAGGUUAUAUGACCAUGGCAUUCAUUGGAUUCUUCCUCCAUCUUGGCCAAGACGUAGCCGACAAUGCGGCCGUUGUAGUCUUCGGCGACGUAGAGGAGCUGCGGCCAGGAGAGAAUAUGGUAGAAAUAAUACUUCAUCUGAUAGUUUUCCGGCAGGCAUAGCAGGUUACAGGCCUGCAUCGCUAGUAGGUCAUCUAUUGUCGCCUUC
rnacentral:misc_RNA from 1 species